GUGCUUACACAGCAAAUUGAGCAGAGUUAAAUUUCUGGUGUUGAUAAAGAUAGAGUCAAUCGAACUCUAUUUGGAAUUGAUCUAAAUCUGUAUGUUGUUAAAUCUGUUUGAUUUCACACUGCACCACAAAAGAGUUGGUGUCAAAAUGGAGUGUUAUUACUGUUAUUGUGAAACCAACUCUAUGGGUCGUCAGUCUCUCAGCUCGGGUGUAAGGAGUGACUACCCUCUGGCAUCGCGCGAACAAUAAUCUCGUGAGAGCAACAAUCUGGCGGGAUUCAAGUAAUUUACCUGCACAACUCAACUGGAACGCAACGAGCAGCACAACGUUUUCGAGGACAGUUUGUUCAAAAUUGAAGAAAACGUGUUGCAUUGUGUCGGAAAUGUUGGCUAAAGUGGAGAUUGGAGGGGUCCUAAAAUACGUGAAAAUUCCAGAGACUGAUGGAUUUUUUCAAUUUGAUAUGUUCCUUCAAGAAGAUCUGGAUGUUGAGCUGGUUGCAGAUCAAGCAUCCUCCUCUGUAUUGACAUCGCUGUCCCCAACUUCAUCCCAUUCAUCCUUGGUAGUGGCACAGACUGCACUAUCCCCAGCUUUAUCCCAUUCAUCUGAUUCCACCGUUAUUCUGGAGUCCACAAGAAAAAGGAGGAACCCAACAGGGUUAAUGGACCAGAAUGAAGCAAAACAGAUGGUUGAGGGUGUUCUGAGGGCCAAUCCAAAGGGUGAAGAAGUCUUCAAUGAGUAUGACAAGACUAAAACACUAACUGAUGCGACCCGUAAACAAAUGGUGAACAUCCUGGUUGCAGAUAUGGUAGAGCUACAUGGGAGGGUUCCACCGUCAAGUGUAAGGACCAAUUAUGCACUGGGAAUUGUGACUCUUUUUCCAUACCUCCGUGAUCCAUUCUCCAAACUUGGAUAUGUAAGUUAUAUCUGAAAACCAAAUCAGUGUGAUUUCAAUAUCUUCUUCACUUUUCUAGUUUGUACUCAUCUUGUUUCAGAUGAGUUUUUGUAGGUUGCUCACCCUUGCAUUUUCAACCUGUUUUUUAAAAUGUUUUGCAGUCUAUUCACUGUCUACAAUUUUUGUGUUGAGUAACUUAUUCUUAAAUUGAAGCAUGAGAUGCCUCUGUUUGGGUCUUUCUUUAAAAAGGAACACUACUAUGAUCCUGAGGGUAAUACCGGCUUCAUUUCAUGGAGGAUCAAGACGGUUCAACGCAACACCUUUGCUGGCUUGCGGGGUCGUUCCAAGACCGUUCUUCAGGAUGGUCCAAAAACCAGGCGAGAAUCUCUGUCAACCUGCCAACAGCUAUUUGGUGAGGAGUGCAGGGAGGCGAUAUCUACAAUAAGACAUUCCAGCGAUGAAUCUGUGGUCAAAGAGAAGAUGAGAGCGACUUUCCAGUAUCGACAGAAGAUGGUUGGGGAUGAUGCAUCAUCUUCAGUCCUGGAUGUGUUCCCUCGUUUUCUUGAUGUACCUGGAUUGGUAAGAAAACUCUUUUGCUUUGGUUGUAGUUGUCCAGUGUAGAACAGUAAUAUAGUCCAGUGCAGGACAAUAUAAUAUCUGUCUGCACUAUACUAUAAUCUCUUUAAUCUUCUUUUCAAUCUUCCAUUUCAGUAUUUGACCUUUCAUUCAUUUUGUCAUGUAUGCUUGAACCUGUAUAUUAAAAUAUUGUUUUCCUUGUUUGUAGAUCGACCAGGAUUUCUCAAUGAUGUUUGGUGACGAAGUGUCUCAGAAGUUCCUGUCCAAGUGGUCAACUUUCUUCAAGCCAAACAUCAUCACAGACUGCAAGACUGCAACGAAUAUGGAUGAGUUGCUGUCAGCAACUGAAUUUGAGUCUGAAGAGAACAAUGGAUGGGACAGUGAUAUGUCUUCAAUCCUUUUGCUGCUGCAGCUACUCCCUCCAACUUCAAGGGGCCAGAAAAAAACUGCCAAGAUCAGUUCAGCUCAAGCAACCAGCCAUCUUGUUAGAUAUCUUAAGGAAGGAGCCAGUAUUACUACCUUCCUUGAGAGUGUCGACGCAAGACAACCGUUCCUCCUUUGCAUCGGUGAGCAAAAGAAGAAUAUCC
ensembl:lncRNA